UAACGGUACAGAUUAGCUGGAUGAAACGCUUUGUUUCAUUACAACACGUUUGGUUGGCAUGAAUAAUCAAACUAUUCUUAGAUGAUUCGGUGAUAAAUAGCUUGGUUCACCGAAUCCUCCAUUCGACAGAAUUUCAUUCAUCUCCCAUUCCACCUCCUCCCAUAAUAGUCAUUUUUUACCUGAUCUAAAGAAUAGCAUGACAGAGCCUCCACCGAAUAAGAAAAAAAAACAUAACUUCCCAUUCUCGCCCUUUACCACCCUCCCUCAGCAAACACCUCAAGUUACCACACCCCAACUCUGUCUCCUCGUUCCCGUUUAGUUAUUCUCAUCCUACGAUCAUCAUCGACAGAGAUCUCGACAUUGUAAAAAGCUUCCCCAAAAUUGAGACGAUAAGGUUUCGGAUUUUGGGCUUGCAAAAUUAGCUUUGGAUUUAAAAAUCCAUGUAACCACAUGUGUGAUGGGAACCUUUGGAUAUAUGGCUCCAAAGUAGGCAACAAGUGGCAAGUUAACUGAAAAAUCCGAUGUUUAUUUCUUUGGUGUUGUUCUCUUGGAGUUAAUUACCGGGCGCAAACCUGUUGAUGAUUCUUAGCCGUUAGGUGACGAGAGCCUGGUUGAAUGGGCUCGAUCUUUGCUUGCUGAAGUAAUUGAACAUCAAGAUUUUGAUAUGUUGGUGGAUCCGAGGCUGGAAAAGAACUACGUGGAUCACGAAAUGUUUCGAAUGAUUGAGGCAGCUCCUUGCGUGUGACAUUCAGCUGCUAAAAGGCCUAGAACGAAUCAGGUUGUUGAACUAUGGAUAACAGAGUGGAUGAGGCUGGAUCGUUGUGGAACAUGGUUUUACAUACACAAAGUCGUUCUAUCUCAAAGCGGUUGUUUUCUGGGAUGAUUUCUUUAUUUGAUCAUCAUAGCAUGCCAGAUAAGAUAAUAGAGGUAUUUGCAGACAUGGAGGAGUUAUGUGUCAGACCAGAUGAAAACACAGUCAAGAAAGUAACUCGUGCCUUUCAGGAACUCGGCAAAGAAGACAAACAGAAGUUGGUUCUUAGAAGAUACAUGAGCAAAUGGAAAUACAUCCACUUUAAUGGGGAACGAGUUAGAGUGAAAAGAUAUACAUCAGAUGAAGAUUGAUGUUCAAUUUAAUGAGUGCAUUCUCUUGGCGUCAAUGGCAUUAUAUGAGUAUGUAUCUGUUGCGCUGGACUUUGCCAAUUAGGUAUUGCAGCAUCAAGGAGUCUUAUUCACUUUCCUUGAGAUAGGCAGCAUACACUUGAAUGCUAUAUGAAUUGUUUAUCAUUCCUGGGGGGUAGUUCCCUGUAUAUAACUAUAGCUUGGAUGUUGCAAACCUCUUCUUUAAUUUCUAGGGAUAUAUAUAUUGUUAGAAGGACAGAAAAGGGUUUUUGUUUUUAAUGUAGGACAUUGUUUUGAGAUUUUGUCCUUAUAAGACUCUUAUGUCUUCAUAUCAUCAUUGACUCAAUUGAAAUAUUAAAUAGUUUUUGAAGA